rnacentral:tRNA from 1 species
GCAUUCGUAGUCUAAUGGAUAUAACGUACUCCUCCGGAGAGUAAGAUGCUGGUUCGAUUCCUGCCGAAUGCG